rnacentral:pre_miRNA from 1 species
UUGAAGGAUUGAAUUUCCAUCCGAGCCCGGAUCCAAAAUUCAAGAUUCUCCCAAGACUCUUUGGGCGGAAUCUUGGAUCUCGGAUCCAGGCCCGUUUGAAAUUCAUUCCUUCAAUCAAGAUUCUGUCCAAAGACUCCUGGGAGAAUCUUGGAUCUGGGCUCGGAUUGAAAUUCAAUCCUUCAA